rnacentral:rRNA from 1 species
GAUGAACGCUGGCGGCGUGCCUAAUACAUGCAAGUCGAGCGGACGGACGAGAAGCUUGCGGCUCGGACGUUAGCGGCAGGCGGGUGAGUAACACGUGUAUACCCUACCUAUAAUACUGGUAUAACCUCGGGAAACCGGAUCUAAUACCGUAUAAUAUUCUGCACCGCAGUGUGCAAUAGUGAAAGACGGUGUUUCUGUCACUUAUAGAUGGAUCCCCGCUUCAUUAGCUAGUUGUUAAGGUAACGGCUUAGCAAGGCAACGAUGCGUAGCCGACCUGAGGGGGUGAUCGGCCACACUGGAACGGAGACACGGUCAAGGCUCCUACGGGAGGCAGCAGUAGCGAACCGUACGCAGCGGGCGAAAGUCUGACGGAGCAACGCCGCGUGAGUGAUGACGGCCCUCGGAUCGUAAAACCCUGUUAUGAGGGAAGAACAUAUUUGGACGUAACUGUGCACUGCGUGACGGUACCUAAUCAGAAAGCAACGGCUAACUACGUG